CCUACUCUUGACAUCCAGAGAACUUUCCAGAGAUGGAUUGGUGCCUUCGGGAACUCUGAGACAGGUGCUGCAUGGCUGUCGUCAGCUCGUGUUGUGAAAUGUUGGGUUAAGUCCCGUAACGAGCGCAACCCCUAUCCUUAUUUGCCAGCGCGUAAUGGCGGGAACUCUAAGGAGACUGCCGGUGACAAACCGGAGGAAGGUGGGGAUGACGUCAAGUCAUCAUGGCCCUUACGAGUAGGGCUACACACGUGCUACAAUGGCCGGUACAGAGGGCUGCAAACCUGCGAAGGCAAGCUAAUCUCAGAAAACCGGUCGUAGUCCGGAUCGCAGUCUGCAACUCGACUGCGUGAAGUCGGAAUCGCUAGUAAUCGUGAAUCAGAAUGUCGCGGUGAAUAGUUCCCGGGCUUU
rnacentral:rRNA from 1 species